UGUGCUAGGUGGGGAGUCAGCGGUGCCCUGUAUCUGCAAUCCGCUACAGCAGAGCCGAAUAUCUCUCUCGGGUGCGCCUAUGGAAGGUCCGCACGCCGUAAGGGGCGUUGAUAGCAAGGUCUUAUGCAACGCAUUGCCGUGAACCGUGUCAGGGCAGGGAUGCAGCAGCACUAAGCGGAUUUGUGCGUGUGCCAUGAGGUAGCUUUGCAGGAGUUGCCUGCGGCG
rnacentral:SRP_RNA from 1 species